GACGAACGCUGGCGGCGUGCUUAACACAUGCAAGUCGAACGGAAAGGCCCUGCUUUUGUGGGGUGCUCGAGUGGCGAACGGGUGAGUAACACGUGAGUAACCUGCCCUUGACUUUGGGAUAACUUCAGGAAACUGGGGCUAAUACCGGAUAGGAGCUCCUGCUGCAUGGUGGGGGUUGGAAAGUUUCGGCGGUUGGGGAUGGACUCGCGGCUUAUCAGCUUGUUGGUGGGGUAGUGGCUUACCAAGGCUUUGACGGGUAGCCGGCCUGAGAGGGUGACCGGCCACAUUGGGACUGACAUACGGCCCAGCCUCCUACGGCAGGCCGGAGUGGGUAAUAUUGCACUAUGGGCGGACGCCUGAUGCAGCAACGCCGCGUGCGGGAUGACGGCCUUCGGGUUGUAAACCGCUUUCGCCUGUGGCGAAGCGUGAGUGACGGUAAUGGGUAAAGAAGCACCGGCUAACUACGUG
rnacentral:rRNA from 1 species